GGGCACAUGGUGUAGUUGGUUUAUCACGCCCGCUUAGCAUUGGCUGAGCUGCGGGAGGUGUUGGGUUCAAUUCCCAAUGUGUCCA